rnacentral:rRNA from 1 species
AUUGAACGCUGGCGGCAUGCUUUACACAUGCAAGUCGAACGGGGUGGGGGGCAACUCCCAUUCAGUGGCGAACGGGUGAGUAAUGCAUCGGAACGUGUCCCGUAGUGGGGGAUAACGCCGGGAAACCGGCGCUAAUACCGCAUAUGCUCUGAGGAGGAAAGUGGGGGACCCGCAAGGGCCUCACGCUAUGGGAGCGGCCGAUGUCCGAUUAGCUAGUUGGCGGGGUAAAGGCCCACCAAGGCGACGAUCGGUAGCUGGUCUGAGAGGAUGAUCAGUCCACACUGGGACUGAGACACGGCCCAGACACCUACGGGUGGCUG